rnacentral:rRNA from 2 species
UGGGGAAUAUUGCGCAAUGGGGGAAACCCUGACGCAGCGACGCCGCGUGCGGGAUGAAGGCCUUCGGGUUGUAAACCGCUUUUGAUUGGGAGCAAGCUUUCGGGUGAGUGUACCUUUCGAAUAAGCGCCGGCUAACUACGUGCCAGCAGCCGCGGUAAUACGUAGGUCCCGAGCGUUGUCCGGAUUUAUUGGGCGUAAAGCGAGCGCAGGCGGUUAGAAAAGUCUGAAGUGAAAGGCAGUGGCUCAACCAUUGUAGGCUUUGGAAACUGUUUAACUUGAGUGCAGAAGGGGAGAGUGGAAUUCCAUGUGUAGCGGUGAAAUGCGUAGAUAUAUGGAGGAACACCGGUGGCGAAAGCGGCUCUCUGGUCUGUAACUGACGCUGAGGCUCGAAAGCGUGGGGAGCGAACAGG